AGAUUGAACGCUGGCGGCAUGCCUUACACAUGCAAGUCGAACGGUAGAGUAGCAAUACUCGAGAGUGGCGAACGGGUGAGUAAUAUAUCGGAACGUGCCCAGUCGUGGGGGAUAACGUAGAGAAAUUUACGCUAAUACCGCAUACGAUCUACGGAUGAAAGCGGGGGAUCGCAAGACCUCGCGCGAUUGGAGCGGCUGAUAUCAGAUUAGGUGUUGGUGAGGUAAAAGCUCACCAAGCCGAUGAUCUGUAGCUGGUUUGAGAGAACGACCAGCCACACUGGACUGAGACACGGCCCAGACUCCUACGGGAGCAGCAGUGGGAAUUUUGGACAAGUGGGCGAAAGCCUGAUCCGAGCAAUGCCGCGUGCAGGAAGAAGGCCUUCGGGUUAGUAAACGUGCGUUUUUA
rnacentral:rRNA from 1 species